GUGUCGCCCCAGAGCAUGAGCUCUUCCCACCUCGCCGCUUCCUUUAUACGCAUGCGCGUUGACGCUCAUUGUGUUCGCAAAGAUGGCGUUGAGUAAAACAUUUGGACAAAAACCAAUAAAAUUUCAACUCGAGCAAGAUGGGGAUUUUUACAUGAUAGGUUCAGAGGUUGGCAAUUACCUGCGUAUGUUCAGAGGCUCUCUGUAUAAGCGGUACCCAUCACUAUGGAGACGCCUUGCAUCCGUGGAGGAGCGGAAGAAGAUUGUAGCAUCAUCACACGAUCAUGGUUACACAACUUUAGCCACCAGUGUGACCCUGCUGAAGGCGUCUGAGUGUGAGGAGAUCUUCGAGGGGAAUGAUGAGAAGUACAAGGCAGUGUCCAUCAGCACAGAGCCUCCGGCGUAUCUCAGGGAGCAGAAGGCGAAGAGGAACAGUCAGUGGGUGCCCACCCUACCCAACAGCUCCCACCACCUGGAUGCAGUGCCUUGUUCCACCACUAUCAACAGAAACCGAAUGGGACGUGACAAGAAAAGGACCUUUCCAUUAUGUUUCGAUGACCAUGACCCUGCAGUCAUCCACGAAAAUGCAUCCCAGGCAGAGGUCCUGGUGCCUAUCCGCCUGGACAUGGAGAUUGAUGGGCAGAAGCUCAGAGAUGCCUUCACCUGGAACAUGAACGAGAAACUUAUGACUCCAGAGAUGUUUGCUGAGAUCCUGUGUGACGACCUAGACCUGAAUCCUCUCACCUUCGUCCCUGCCAUCGCCUCAGCCAUUAGACAGCAGAUCGAGUCCUACCCUACCGACAGCAUUCUGGAUGAGCAGACAGACCAGAGGGUCAUCAUUAAGCUAAACAUUCAUGUGGGGAACAUCUCUCUGGUGGACCAGUUCGAAUGGGACAUGUCAGAGAAGGAGAACUCGCCAGAAACGUUUGCUUUGAAGCUCUGCUCUGAGUUGGGCCUCGGAGGAGAGUUCGUCACCACCAUCGCCUACAGCAUCCGCGGACAGCUCAGCUGGCACCAGAGGACGUACGCCUUCAGGUCUGAUUUCAGGUCAAUAUACUUCAAAAUUUCUUGAUCUCCUCUCCCUCUUACCCCCCAACGUAUCAUACCCUGGGAAGCUGAGUACUUUCAUCUUUUCUUAUUUUAUUAUAUCUUUGCAAGGACAUGUGCCUGUAUAUGACCAUGUCAUUAAAAUGUCUAAAUCAGUUUUCCCUCCUAAAAAUGACAUGGCAUAAACCUAGUGAUACCAGAACAGACAGUGGUUUGAUAACUGUUCUGUUAGACCCCUGCAUGUGCUUUCACAGCAUGGCUUUGAUUUCUGUAUGAUGGUUAGAAGUAAAUUGUAUGAUUUUAUAUAAACAGUUUUUCUUAACAAAUGUUUAAUAGAUAUUUCUAGAUGUCAUUCAUCACCUUUGUGUCUCAGUGGUCAUCAGUGAAGCAUCAUUGGUCUUCCACGAUGUUUAAGUGAUGCUGUCCACUGACUCCAUCUGGCUCAUUUCCUGUAGUGAGAACCCAUUACCAACGGUGGAGAUUGCCAUUCGGAACACAGGUGAUGCCGACCAGUGGUGCCCUCUGCUGGAGACCCUGACAGACGCAGAGAUGGAGAAGAAAAUCAGAGACCAGGACAGAAACACAAGGCGUAUGCGACGACUUGCCAACACCGCCCCUGCCUGGUAAAGACGGGACGUUACUGAUGCUGCCACUCGAUAAGCUCACUGUCUCUCGAAGGGCCUCAGGGUUGCUGGAGGCCUUUGCACAGAUCUACACAGCUCUAGAUAACAUUCCUCCAGCCUUCUGACCUCCUCAACCCACACAGCAUUACACACUUUCUUAAUACCAGGCCUUUAAACUCUGAUCUGGCAUCAACCAGGCUUUACAGCGCUCAUGGAGGCUGUUCGGGACGUCUCGUUAGAAUGCCUGUCAUUGCCGAUUCUCUGGUCUCCAGUUAUAGGGACAUCUGUCUAGUCUGGUUGUAAGAACAGGACAUUGUUGAGAAUGUUUGAUUGAGUGUUGUGUUUUUCGUUAAAGGUGCUAAUGCAUACUAUGAACUUGAAUUGCUUCUUUUUUUUCUUUUUUUUUUUAAAUAAAGACAAUGGCAAAUUGUA